GACGAACGCUGGCGGCGUGCUUAACACAUGCAAGUCAAACGGAAAGGCCCUGCUUUUGUGGGGUGCUCGAGUGGCGAACGGGUGAGUAACACGUGAGUAACCUGCCCUUGACUUUGGGAUAACUUCAGGAAACUGGGGCUAAUACCGGAUAGGAGCUCCUGCUGCAUGGUGGGGGUUGGAAAGUUUCGGCGGUUGGGGAUGGACUCGCGGCUUAUCAGCUUGUUGGUGGGGUAGUGUCUUACCAAGGCUUUGACGGGUAGCCGGCCUGAGAGGGUCACCGGCCACAUUGGGACUGAGAUACGGCCCAGACUCCUACGGGAGGCAGCAGUGGGGAAUAUUGCACAAUGGGCGGAAGCCUGAUGCAGCAAAGCCGCGUGCGGGAUGACGGCCUUCGGGUUGUAAACCGCUUUCGCCUGUGACGAAGCGUGAGUGACGGUAAUGGGUAAAGAAGCACCGGCUAACUACGUG
rnacentral:rRNA from 1 species